AUUUUCGAUGAUAGGAUAUCUGAUUCGACGGUCUGCUUUCUUAGGCAUAAUCUACGCUAUUAGAAUUUUUAAAAACCAAAUUUUAUAAUUUUCAACAUCAUUCACUAAGUGACCAAAGGGUCUCAAAAUGACUAUUUUAACGGCCGAUGCAGCAGCUUGAAAGUUCAACGGUGUAAACCAAUCCAAAUUACAUAAAAUUUUAAUAAAAAAAUUCUAUUUAACAUCAAAAAUUAGAUCGGUACUUUUAAUUUGAAAUUUAAGUUUUUUAAUAUUGUUUUUUAUAAAAUUUUAUUUUAUGCCAUUCAUUUUAAGGCUACU
rnacentral:lncRNA from 1 species